rnacentral:rRNA from 1 species
CCCCGUCUAAGUGCCCUGGAACGGGCCGUCGGAGAGGGUGAGAAUCCCGUCUGGGACGGGGUGUCCGUGUCCGUGUGAAGCUCCUUCGACGAGUCGAGUUGUUUGGGAAUGCAGCUCUAAAUGGGUGGUAAAUUUCAUCUAAAGCUAAAUAUUGGCCGGAGACCGAUAGCGCACAAGUAGAGUGAUCGAAAGAUGAAAAGCACUUUGAAAAGAGAGUUAAACAGCACGUGAAAUUGUUGAAAGGGAAGCGCUUGCGACCAGACUCGCCUGCGGGGUUCAGCCGGGAUUCGUCCCGGUGUACUUCCCCGCAGGCGGGCCAGCGUCGGUUUGGGCGGCCGGUCAAAGGCCUCCGGAAUGUAUCGCCCCCCGGGGCGUCUUAUAGCCGGAGGUGCAAUGCGGCCUGCCCGGACCGAGGAACGCGCUUCGGCACGGACGCUGGCAUAAUGGUCGUAAGCGACC